GCUCCUUUCUACGGUUUUAAACACAAGCCCAGUUCUCUCUCCUCUUGUCAUAUACUCUCUAAAAUCAUGAUUUGCAUUCUUUUUCUGUGUAGUCUUUUUUUGGAGACAGGGUUCACCCAGGAUGGAGUGCAGUGAUACAACAAUCAUAGCUCAUUGCACUCUUGAACUCUGAGGUUCAAGUGAUCCUCUCCUUUCAGCCUUCCAAAGUGCUGGGAUUAUAGGCAUAAGCCAUUGUGCUGGGCCUACUCAAUUUCUAAAAUCUACCAAUAUUGUCACAUUGUUCACCACUCCUUAUGACUUAAGCACAUGCAGCUUCUGUGCAGGCCCAUAUAAAUCCCCCUGACUGGCCAGCCUAGCUCCCUCUCCUGGAUGAAGUUUUCUCAGCUCUCCUGCCUAUACUGCUGGUCUGAACCGGUAACAGGGUCUGGGCCCCCUGUAGGGGGAUCAACUGUAGGUCCCAGCUAGAGUUUCUGAAGGGCUGGCACAGAAGACUCUAACGCUAGAUUUAUUUAACUGGUGGCUCUGCUUUCCGUGGGAGGGAGUCCUGAGGGGAACCCUCCCCAGUGAUGCCCGUCUAACUGUGAAACUGCCCUGGACAGAUAGCAAGGAAUGGAUGAGAACCAAAAGAUGAACAAUCUAGAAUAUGAAAAAGUUCUUUCCAAAUAAUCACAUUCACUAUCCUUGAGUAAAGGAGGUACUCUAAGUUUCUAAUAAACAGGAGGGAGAUUCCUAAAAGAAUAUAUGUAACUUUCUAAAUAACUUUUAAUUCUAAAUU